AGAAGUAGCAGGUUCCAUAGUUGUAGGGCAGCAAUCUUAUCCCACAGGAGGUAACUAUACAACCUGUUGCCUUUC
rnacentral:pre_miRNA from 1 species